GAAAACGCAUAUAUAUGUUCUUAGUCAACACCGAUAGCUUUCGCCAGACAUCUAUAUGCGCCCACAGCACUCAAAGGGUUAAACUUAUUACACUUAAAAUAUGCACUUGGAGACCAAACGAACGCAUUGUAACCCCAAACUCUUUUACCCUGACGUCACUUUAGGCGACCACUUCUAAAUAUUCUCCGGACAGUUGAUACCUCUACUCUAAAUAUUCUCAGGACAGUUGAUACCUCUAAAUAUCCUCCGGACGGUUGAAACUUCUAAAUAUCAUCUGGUCAAUUAACACCUCGCCACCCUGAUAAGGAACUUCCAGGAACAAUAUCCCCUCCAUCAUUUUCAUUGUUCCUGCUUAGUAUUUAGACUCCGAAUAAUGACGGCCGAGCCAGUCUGAACUGUGAACCGAUACUUGAACAUUGUAAGUGGUAGCCAAGGGUCUUGGACUCUUGAGAAAUAAAGUUUUUUGUAUCAUCAAGAGAGUUUCUUUUUUACGUGACAGCAUCAACGACAAAUCAUCGUUGGUUCCCUUAUACCGUUUUCUCUUUCGAAUAAGAUCUAUAAAAUAAAAAUUAGCUUCUGUGGUAGAUUAUUUAAAAAGAAACACGUGUUAAAUAUUCUCGUCUAUAACGAAUCACCAUUUUGAUAUUUACAUAUACAAUUUUAUAAGUAUACGUAUGCGUUAAAAUUAAUUUGUUUCGAUGAUAAAAUUUGAAACGCACUUUGGUAGAUAUUGAAAACGUCUGUUAUUAUUGUUACGCCCCGAGGCUCACUGUACGCCGUGUUCCUAACCGUCUCGCUACUACAGUGUCGCAGACAGAUCGUCUUACAUAUACGAAAUAUACACAACAUAGCGAUAAACGCAUAGUUGUCGUCAAGCAGCGAGUUCUAAAAAACAUCGAUUCGCCUUCGGUUCGAUAUUUUACCUACACAAAAAAGGUAGCAUACGUGAUCAUAGGCGAGAACGGUCGCGAGACCCGAACAUGGUGGGGUCGUCUCCAAGUGAAGACAAAGGAAAAAAUCGAAGGGCAGUCAGUAUCAUACGAGGAGUCAAACCGAAUGCUUCGAGAGGUUCAGAGAAAUAAAAUCAAGUUCGCUUAGCGAAACGAAUACGUCGAGAAAUACUAUAAGUCGAGUCGAAUUGUAAUAAUAAACUAGUUGUAUCAUCGUUAAAUCAUUUGUAACGUGUUAAUUUUAAAUAUCGUUAAAAAUGGAAGCUUGUAUUAAUCCUUGUUAAUUCAGUGUUCUGUUAUCCUAAUCGAAACAGGGAAACGACUGAUUCGCGGCGUCGAUAUCAAAAUCGUAACGAGAAUUUACGCCUCUCGCUGACGCGUUUCCUCGCGAUCGCGUCUCUCCGCGAACGGUCGUGACAGUUAUGAAUAUUUAUUCAUUUUUCACUAAAUAUUCUUGCUAGCAACUAUGUAAUGAUAGAUGCGCAAAAAAGUGUAGAAAAGUUAUGAUUUCCCUAAAGGCAUUGCUAAAAUUUGAUCAGCAAGUUAUAGAAACUAAUAUUACGCUCUGGAAACUAGUGCAACUGAAGCUAGAAAUAUAGUACAUGAAUUUUGGAACUCGUUCACACAAGUUUAAAUAACAAGCCAAACUGAAGUAUACGAAUAAAAAAUGCAGGUUAGCAGAUAAUGCGUGAAAAAUAACGCGAAGUUUCGGCGAAAUAUACCAUCAGUUUUUCUAAUUUGAAAACCUUCUUUUUUUCACUUCCGAACACAAAUUUUCUCGCUCUGCCUGCCUCCCAGAGGCAGAUACUGCGAUCCAUCAUAAACGGUCUAGCCGAAAAUGUACGAAAUACGCGACCAAAAAUCCGGUAACGUUAACGCGCAAUGAUUAACUGGAAACUGCGAAAUGAGUAGGUUGCCAGUAUAUUUACAUAAAUAUGUAUAUACGUAGAUGCAGUAAAGAUUCACUUUGAUGUUACCACUGGUUUGUAAAGCUAACUAAAAACGUAAGCUUUGCGUCUACUUAUGUAAUAUAAUUCAGCAGCUAAGCAUGCAGAUACCGAUGCAUCAUCAGCUAUUUUACCUACUUUUCGUUCACUCGGGAAUAUAGUAGCGACUAUACGCGAUAAUAAACAUUUCCAUGCUCGUUUCUCUCUCAGCAUGAUCAUUUCGUUUUCGCGUAUUAUUCCCGCUGAGUACGCGCGUUUAUUUAUACGUGUAUUAUCUCCGGAAUCUUUUUAUGUGUCUAUGAAAUUUUUCGAUCUGUAUUUUUCUUGAUUGUUCGAGAAUAGACCGAUUCUAAAAUAAAACGUAGUUUACGAGCGUGAAAGCGAUAAUUAUUCGGCCGAGUCAGGAUAUUGGACUUUCAAAUAGAAAUUGCACUUUCUUCGAUAUUUAGAGACAAAGGGACUUCGCUUUAUUCCUAUUGUAUAAAAUAUUGCACAUUACAAGACGCUGCGUGUUAUUCGUUAAAUUGAGCAAACGUGUCUUUCAAUAGCACGUUAUUAUAUUUUUAGAAGAAAAAGUCGUUACAAUAAUAAAUAUUGUCAAAGUUUCUCACUCUUUGGGUAGCAACGUAUCCUAAUAGUUAGAGGCUAGACUCACAACGUGUCGUCGAAUGAAAAUCAUACGGUUUUCUCAAAAUCACGAAAUCUUUAUUUUUAUCAAAACGGUUCAUAGGAUGGUACUUUCCAAGUUGAUGAAUUUAUACACUGUCGCUCAACUGUUGUAUGUAUUUGAUAAGAAAGAAACUUGGACUUUUAGUGGGCUAACAAAAUUUAGAAUUUAAUUAUUUAAUUAAAUAUACUUUAUGUACGGAAUUAAUUACAGAUCCUAAGGAUCAUAUAACGUAAUGAAUACUUUGUUUUAAGAAUUCGACGUGCAGAAUAACUGCUUCGAAUAUCGCCACCCGUAAUAUCUUGAAAAGAAGCAUUGGCAGAAUUGGGGUUGUAGUGAAACAUGUGUAAAGGAACGUAUUUUAUGUACGUGGAAUACAAAUAACGUCUCUUUCGUCUGACACUAAUUUCAUGUAAAAUUGUCUCUUUGUGUUUACUUGGAAAUCUGAUAGGCGAUAUUAGGCGCACUUGCAAUAUUAAAAAAACAAAAAAAUUAAAGAUACAAAAGUAUUUCUUAAUUCUUUUAGCCUCGUGGAUAAACAUAAACAUGUGAUGUUUUUCUUAUAAACCUCGCAGUUAUUUUUACGUUUUUACUUAUGUUUUUACUUAUCGUAUUACCAUGCUCGUAUCAGCAGGUGAUUCUUCUCUUAACAUUUAUAAAUUAUAUUAUCGCAUAUAUGUGCGCGCGCGUAUAUUCGUAAGCUUUAACAUAAUUGGAUAAUAAAUCGUUAACUGAAAAUUGAAUACCCGCGGGCUAUGGUUCGUCAGGUUUGUGAAAGCGUCGAGCGUUAAUUGGGUUGCAUUUAUUAGUCACCCCGAUCGCGCUAUCUCGCAAUUGCGGGUUCGCAAUCGAUGUCAAACCUACAGGGCAUGCCAAUGUAAUCAGCAUAGCAAAUUUUGUUUCUAAACUGUACGUCAAGAUAUCGGCGAUUUUGCUUCGAAUCAAAAACGACCGACUUGUUUGAAGAAUGAAAACGUUCCACGUAAUGUUAUAAAUUAUGGAUGGGAUAAUUGCAACUUUUCAAGAGUCUACAUUUUUCUUCCUCUUCUUGCGAUUCGAAUUUCUCGACAUUUAGGUAAAUAAGAAUUUUUUUUGAUUUUAUUCAAUUCGUCGUAAGCCAAUUGAAUUCAUUUUAAUUGGUGUGAUUUCACCGCAAGACUAAUUCGAUAUUCUGAAAGAAGACUGUUGUAAUUAGAGUGCGGAUAUUUAGACGAAUUCAUACUUCUGUGUUAAUGUAAUUUAAAAAAAAAAAAAAAAAAAAAUAACCUGGGAUCUAGACAGAAAUUUAUUUUAUCUAUUGAGUAUCCUAACAAAUACUUGCAGUUUGCAUAUUUCAUAGAUUUUCGCGUGUUCUGGGCAUUCUGCUAAUUUUUGCGUCUGCAAAUUUCAAGUAAAUGUAUGAAAAUACAUGAUCUAGUUAUGAUUUUAGCUCCAGUCGAAAUAGAUGAAAAUCCCCUCAAAAGAAAGAAAAAUUCAGCAUUUCGACUGUGUUGAGUGCCUACGAAUUCCUAUUUCGCGAAUCUAAAAAUCACAAAUCACACCGUCUCUGCUAUAAAUUUGCAUACCGUGACGGUUAACACUUUGACUGUCACGUUGGUAUCGAGUUUAGAAAGUCAUUAGACAUAAAUUCUGUACUCAAGGAUAUUUGUGUUCUACGUAGCGACAAGGACCCGGAGAAUCAGCGAUUAUUUUAAUUCAUCGGAUAAGAAAUUUAUGAAACAUUUAAUUCUAGAAAAAAUUAUUAAUCUUUCAAUUACAGUUUACGAUGAGAUUCGGAAAUUGAAAAUAUAGAAUACAAAUGUACAUUAAUAUAAUAUGUUAAUGCACGUAUGACAUAAUAA